rnacentral:tRNA from 1 species
AAUAGGGUGACUGAUUUAAAAGUGAUAAAUUGUAAAUUUAUUAAUGAAGAAUAAUUCUUCUCCUAUUA